UAGCUAUGUACCUUAACACAUCCAUCACCUCAUCCGAAGUAGAAAACAAUCAAUGGCUACCUCAAUUAUGGUUACUUCCUUGGCUAUGAUAUGCUUGGUUUUGAGUGCUUCCUUAGCAAAUGGUGCCCAAUCAUGUGGCCAAGUGCAACUAACUGUAGCACCAUGCAUUAUGGUUUUGAGUGCUUCCUUAGCAAAUGGUGCCCAAUCAUGUGGCCAAGUGCAACUAACUGUAGCACCAUGCAUUGGUUACCUUAGGAGACCAGGUCCAUCUGUUCCAGCACCAUGUUGCAAUGGAGUGAGAACUGUGUUCAACUUAGCCAAAACUGUAUCUGAUCGUCAAGCGAAUUGU
rnacentral:lncRNA from 1 species